CCCGAGUUGUAAUUUGUAGAAUUUGUCUUUGAUUAGGUCCUUGUCUAUGUUCCUUGGAACAGGACGUCAUAGAGGGUGAGAAUCCCGUUUGGCGAGGAUACCUUUUCUCUGUAAGACUUUUUCGAAGAGUCGAGUUGUUUGGGAAUGCAGCUCAAAGUGGGUGGUAAAUUCCAUCUAAAGCUAAAUAUUGGCGAGAGACCGAUAGCGAACAAGUACAGUGAUGGAAAGAUGAAAAGAACUUUGAAAAGAGAGUGAAAAAGUACGUGAAAUUGUUGAAAGGGAAGGGCAUUUGAUCAGACAUGGUGUUUUUUGCAUGCACUCGCCUCUCGUGGGCUUGGGCCUCUCAAAAAUUUCACUGGGCCAACAUCAAUUCUGGCAGCAGGAUAAAUCAUUAAGAAUGUAGCUACUUCGGUAGUGUUAUAGCUUUUUGGAAUACUGUUAGCCGGGAUUGAGGACUGCGCUUCGGCAAGGAUGUUGGCAU
rnacentral:rRNA from 1 species